ensembl:lncRNA
ACCACGUGGUCUCGUCUUGGCGUUUCCAGGCAACCGGUCCCAGUGUGACCAUUACGUGGACUUCCUCCUGCCCAAAUGCAAAGGCGCUACCAUAAUUCCCACGUGCCUCCAGUUCCUCCACCAAGUCUUCCGGAUUCACACUGAAUAAGUUCUAGCCUGGAGACUGGGUCCUGGUUCGGACGUGGAAGGAGGCCAAGCUGACCCUGAGCUGAGAAGGACCGUUCCAGAUCCUGUUGACUUCAGACACGGCGAUACGCACCAAAGAAGGAGGUUGGACACAUCACACUCGAGUCAAAGGUCCCGUGGAUGCACCAAAGAAGUGGGCAGUAGACACUGAUCCAGGAACAUUGAAAGUGCGACUGAUAUUACAGGAAACUCAGCAAAGACUGAUGAAUUGUGCAUGUAAAAUCUUUUUGACUUGUCUCAUUUGGGGAACUCUCUUGGGACUUUUCUUGUUUGUAUUAGAUAUUACAUUUUGCUGAAGAACUGUAUUGUUAGGAAUUAGGGAUAUUAUAUACCAUUAGGAAGAAUGGGGGUGUGAACCAAACCCAAGGGGUUGGAGACUGUGUCUUGUCUAUGCAUGUAUGAUUUUAUGCAGGUACACCUUUUGUACUGGUACCUCGAGAGCAGUGGGGUAUGAAAAUACCUUUCAAACCCUGAUCCAAACAAUAGCCACUAGCUUUAAAUUGACUGACUACUGGACAUGUGGGGGACCCGAACAACUCACACGAUGGCCCUGAGUACCUGUCCCUUUAUUUCCAGCCUGGAUAUUGAGUAAUAGAUCAGUUGUACAUGAUGGUACCGGAUUUUGGUCAGAUCAGGAGGAACAUCAGUGGAAAGUAACUAAUGCUGUCCCAGGAGGACAUGGUUUAAAUCAAACAGGCACAGGGCCUUGGAUGGGAGAAAGUGAAUGCGAAUGGACUUUUACCCACCGGCCAGAGAAGGUAGAUAUUAUAGAUUGUAGUCAAUAUAAAAAUAGAUAGAAUAAAACAAGUGUUGUUUGUGACGAUGGGUCAGUGAUUAAAUGGACUCAUCCACAUGCAGUAGAGGGUAGUGAAGAAUGCUUGAGGGAAUUGAAAAAGAAGCCAACUUGUCAAACACCCCGAGAUUUAUGGAGAUGUUUAAGGUUAAAUAGUACAAAGUCAGGUACUGCUAGUACUGUAAUGAGAUGGAAAUGGGAAAAUAGUAAUGGAACUGUUAGGAAAAUGUUUGGUAACUUUUGGAGCAAUAUAGAUUUUACUGGGGAGAAUAACUGUAGUUGCACUUGGAUGCCUGAAAAGCAACUUUGGAAGCGUAAUUCAAAAACCAUGAAAGGGGGACCGUUAGGACCAAGGGAUGUUAUAUAUUUCCCACCCUCAACAGGAGUUUUUAUCUUCUGGCAUGAGAAAAACCCAGCUUUAAGGGGACACUAUUGGAUUUGUGGCCAGAUGGCAUAUACUCACUUCCCAAGAAAUUGGACUGGGAAUUGUUAUGCAAGUACAAUAAGGCCCAAGUUUUUCUUCCUUCCAGAAAAUAGUGACAAACAGGAAUAUGACUAGUAUAGAUACUUCUCUGAUUCAAACAGGUGAUGCUAAUGGAUGGGGAAAUACAUGACUCCUAG